rnacentral:rRNA from 1 species
UACAGGGGGUGCAAACGUUGCUCGGAAUCAUUGGGCGUAAAGAGCUCGUAGGCGGCUCAGUAAGUCGGGUGUGAAAACUCCAGGCUCAACCUGGAGACGCCACCUGAUACUGCUGUGGCUAGAGUCCGGUAGGGGAGCAUGGAAUUCCUGGUGUAGCGGUGAAAUGCGCAGAUAUCAGGAGGAACACCAGUGGCGAAGGCGGUGCUCUGGGCCGGAACUGACGCUGAGGAGCGAAAGCGUGGGGAGCAAACAGG